GUUGCAGGCUAUCGUGUGUUAACCUGUACUUCUGCCGCAGAGUUUGGAGAAAGCGGCAGCAGAUUGUGCUGCCGCAGGCUGGAGCCUGGAACCUGGAGCCCUGGAGCCUUGAAUGGUGUGUGGUGGCAAUGGAGAGAGGCAGCUGGCAGUGACAGCUGCUCCGUGCUUGGCUACAGGAAGGAAAGAAGGAGAAAGCACCUACCAUAGGCUGGAGGCUAGAGCCUGCAGGACUGCGGCUGGCCUCGCUGGCUCGCCUCCCUGGCUGGCCUCGCUGUGGUUGGUGGCAGCGACGGAUACUGCAGCUGGCCAGAGUGUAGAAAGGCAAUGGGGUAGGCUUUUUUGGCUGUGUGUGUCCAGCUGUUCCAUGCCAGGAGGAGGAGGAGUUACAUGCUGGAAGCUUGCAGAUAGCCUGGGGCUGCUGCUCGCCUUGCUGCGGUUGGUGGCAGCUACCGAGACUACCUCGCACCAGAGCGCUCAGCAUGAUGUAAACUCCACUGCGGACAGAUGCAGCCAAGAAGACAGGUCACCUUCUACCAACUCCCACCAGAGGAAACUCUUCCCCAGGACCCAGUACGUUGGCCCUCUGACCCUGCACACAGCACAUGAUGCUGAGGUUCAGUGCUGAACAAGAGCUACUGAGAGCCAGAGAUUCACUUCUUCCAUGGAGCCCCACUCAUGGAUGGAGGCUCUGUCCCGGGUCCAGUGCCACUGGGAACACUGGGUCUCUGGUUUCUAGCUCUGUCCUAUGGCAGAGGUUCCACCCCACAAUAACCGAAGUGCUGAGAAGGUGGGAAGCUCCUGCCCGACCCUCCACUGAGAGCUCAGCUCCUAGGCUGAGGAAUAAAACAGCUCAACUUUGUCUACACCUGCAGAACCUUGUUUAGGAGCUCUGUCCCAGGAGAGAGGGGGCAAUGGAAUUCAGUCAUAAAAUAUGAUCCUUAAUUAGUCCUAAAAAUCCUAACUUCAGUAACAGCAGAUUGUGGACAAAUUGAAAGCCUGCCAGUGCUCUCAAAAACAGUGGAUGGUGUGGUGGAAAGCCCUUGGAAGGAGACGGGUGGAUGCAUGGGAGAUGCAGGCUACACUGCAGGGCUGCUGGCUUGCAGGAGAGAACCGAGGACAAGGGAGAGCUGGGGAAAGUUCUCUUGUGGUUGAAAUAAAUGCCAGACACUCUUCAA
rnacentral:lncRNA from 1 species